GGGAGGGGAGGGGUGUCUAGGUGGCGUGAGGUGGGUAGACUAGAUACCCAACCUCGGGUUCCGCCUUUGCCAUUCAUGGAUCGAACCCGAUGGAAAGCAGAGACGAAUGUGAACAGUUUAUACAGGCCAGUAUGACAAGGACGAAGAGUCGAAGAGUCGUAGAGCCAGACAGAAGACAUCUAGGUCUUUAGAGCUAGUAUUACAAACGUUACAGUUAGCGUUUAAUUUUCAUGACCCACAUAAGCCGUAUUUUUCUAUAUGCUAAACCGUUUCACAAGACUCGGGGACUUGUGGGGUGAGGGUUCUCAACACUUUCUCCCCUGUCCUGUUGGAGAAGCUCUCCUUCUGUUCUGUUUGGUUAACGUACCAGGAUUUUGCUAGAUUUUAUGAGGAAUAAAUACCGUCACAACACCCGGUACAGUCAAAAGCACUUGCGCCAAGCGCUGAACAUUUAAUUGGGUAGAGAGAAAAAUAAAUUACUCAAAAACGACGCGGGAGUCCAGAGAUAAGGAAGACACACAUUGUGGGAACUCAGAGAUCCCAGGGACUCGAGAACUUACUUCAGAACACGUGCCACUGGUAAUUUUCUCUGGGCCUUUGCUAUGUAUGUAAGUCUUAGAAACUUACUGCCAGUUUCAUGACCCAGAAAAGGUCUUCUCAGGACCUGAGCUAUUGAAGGUCUGUCCUUGAGGAAGAUUGGUGUCCUCUCUCUCAGCCUGUGUGUGGGUUAAGAACCUGACUCCAGGAGAGUAUCGUAACUGUCCUCUGCAGACUACAAAGAGGAGAGCACCAUGAGAGUUAUACUGAUUCCCGAUUCAAAGGCUGGAUGAUCUGAGAUCUCUGAAAUGAGCAGCAGUUUUCAAAGCAGUUCACACGCAUCAUGCCGUUGGAGGCUGUGUUUGUUGCGGUCCCUUCAUGAGGCGAUUUAAUCCCCUUGAUGACUUGCUGAACCACCUGCAAGUGAUAUAGGGACUUCCAAAGUGCCCAACAUCUCAGAAGAGCGGUGACUUGUCCUGUGGGGUCACCCAUGGCGGGAGAGGGGGACGAAGCUGGUCAACCACAGACAUACCAGGUGGAUGGAUAAAAUGAAGGUUGCGGAAUAAGAGGGUAGACGCUGUUCAGUGCGGAAAGCGGAGGGGGAAGACAGACACCGCUCUUACAUGGCUGCCGUUUCCAUCCUCAUGAAGGGGAAUCAUCUGACUUCCUUUACAUCAUCACAGAGGACAGCAAAUGGCUACCUGAGUGGCCUUUUCUUUUUUAAGAGAAAUCUAUUACUUCCUUUCUCCCGGGAGGGCUUUGCUGUCUGGUGCUGCCUGUGGCUGGAGAAUGAGUCUACCUUAAGUGCACACAGAAGUCCAUGUAGGUUUGCCAUUGUUAGUGUUAAUAGGCUAAUGCAUUGAUCAUUCUAUUUGUUGACUCUUUUCCUCAUUUUCUUCAGUUUAUUCAACACCAGAUGAAAGAGCAGUAAGUAUUCACUGGAGCCCCCCAGAGUUCCAAGUAGUUAUUUAACACUAAUGGUAGCCCACACAAAGAUGUCCCAUGAACAAUGAAGUACGAUGGAGUUGGGGCUGUAAUGAAAAGCAGCUCUAAGCUAAUCAUAAUAUGUGGUAGAUACUGAAGAGGAAAGCAUUCUGAAGUCUUCCAUAGUUUGAACUAUGAAAGCGCACAGUGGGCGAGCUAAGGGGAGGUCUCCACCUGUGACUACAAAGAACACAGUGUAACACCUGAGGGAAAAGUCUGGUGCCUGAGUGAAGCUUAGAUUCUUGCCAUACCUGAAGCCGAGGAGAGACAGGAAGAUCUCUGAGCUUACUGGAGCCCUGGCUGAACCAAUGAGCUCACAGUCAGUGAGAGACUCUGUCUCAAAAGGUAAGACAGAGAGCAAGCGGAGAACACACCAGACACAGAUCUCUGGUCUCCAUAUGUAUGCACACACAUAUGUAUGCAUGAACAUACAUAGUACCGCAUACACACAGACAAAGAAAUAUCACAUAUCAUAUCAUAUCAAAAAUAUGUAAAGGACUUGAAAAGAAAAAAGUUCACUAUAAGAAAGGUAUAUAGUCAACAGGCAAACGAAGAAAUGAAAUUCAACACUGCUAAUGACCAGGGAAGUGAACCACUACUCCAGUGAUAUAUGACUUCCUUCAGCUAUCAUGGUUUUGUAAAAGGAGGCAACAGAGGGAGGGAGUGAUGGCAGCAUCAGGAGUAUGAGCUGCUUUGGCAAUGGACUGGUUUGGUUCCCAGCACACAAGCACCUAUAACCCAACUCCAGGAGAUCUGACAUCUUCCUCUGGUCUCUGGGCACGGCACUCACGGGCACUACCUCUUCCAUGUACACUCAUAGUUAAAUAUACUCAUAACUAAGUAUAAAAAUACAACCUGGACUAGAAAGAUGGCUAAGCAGUUAGUUAACGUGCACUGCUCUUCAAGAAGACACAUUUGGUUCUCUGCAGCCCUGGCUGGCAGCUCACAGUUGCCUAUAACUCCAGCUCCAGGGGAUCUGAUGGUCUCUGCUGGGUUCCAAGGCUCUAUGUUCACAUGCAUGAGCACAUGUGUACACAUCCAAACACAAUUAAAAAUGAAAAUAAUCUUUUUACAAAUAAAUAAUAAAUAAAAAUUUAAGCAUAGAUAUGGAAGACAAGUGUUGGCAAGGACGCAGAGAGAAAAGGACCCUUUCUGUAAACUGCUGGUGGGACUCUGAGUUCAGCUGUUAUAUUAGACAUUAUGGGGGUUCCAAAACACACUCAGGAUGUUCUUAUCAUUUGGUGCAGUGUGCUCAAAGGAAAUUAAACUAGCACGUUGAAGACACGUCUUUACUGCAGCGUUCAGUGUCGUGUUGCUUACAACUGUUAAGAUGUAGAUCUAAUGACCAUGCCCAUCCACAAAUGCCACAUAUUUUAAAAAUGUGAUAUUUAAUAACAAAAUAUAACCCGAUCUUAAAAAAAUUAGGAAAUCCUUUCAUUUUGGAUAACAUGAAUUAAACUUAGAGUAUCAUCAUAUGUAAAACCAAUACAGAAAUUAUUUCAUGAAUGCCAUAUGAUACCACUAGUCUAUGGAAUCUCAAACCCCACAUGAAAGACAUGGAGAGCAGGGAGGUGGCUGUCAGAGGCAGGGUAAAGGCAGAGACCGAUCUAAGGACAUACAACUUGAGUUAGCCAUGAGAAAGAAACUUGUGAAAUCUGUUGUACACCAUGGUGACUAUGUUUAAUCAUUAUGCGUUAUACACUUGAAAAUUGUUGAGUCAAUAGUCUUUUUUUUUAACACUUCUUGUCUCAAACAGACAGAUAAUUUUAUGAGGUGAUUAGUAUGUCAACUGAAUAUAUUGACAAUAUUUUUACAUUAUUUGCAUAUAUAAAAACAUCAAUGAUUCACUGAGAAUAUAACUCAGUAGGAGGGAACUUGCCUACUAGGGGCAAAGCCCUGGUUUCAAUCCUUCUUUAAGCUCAAGAACUUCAGAAAACAAAUGAGUGAAGGAACCCCACCUGCCUGCCUGAAGCUCUCAGUUCAGUAGCUCCACCUGUCCUGCAGUUCAUUGGGUAGCCCAGGCAGCUCUAGAACUUGGAAAGUUCCAUCCGCCUCUGCCUUCCAUCACACCUGGCCGAGAAAUAGCAUGUUUCGCGCCACACAUAUAUGCAACAUUUAUUUGUAAGUGAAAAAUGUUAUUUUUGAGUCACAUUACUGCCUCCAGCUUAGUGCCUUACAAGGUAGUUAUUUCCCUUGAAAGUUUAAUCUUUCCCCCUACAGAAUCAUCUAAAAUUGAUCUAUGAAGUCAAUAUUUACAUUUAAAAAUAAAACACAUUAAUGUUCGGGUAUUAAAAACCAACAUGUCCCACUUUUAGCUCUGUCUGCAGUAGAGGCAGACAGAGGCACUUUGGUUUGGGUUAGGCAUGCCUGGAGUUCAACUCUAAGCAUAAGUUGACAGGCAGUGAGGAUUAACCCAAAUCAUGGUUUUUAUUCAGUUUCUUUUUUCGUCUUCCUAUGGCUUCACUUCAUGUUUCCAAGGAUGGCUUCAAGGUUGUCUACCCUGUCACUCACUUCCUGCUUCUGUAUUCUGUAACACCUAACUUAAAAAAAAAAAAAAAAAACAAACCAAAAACCCGCCAUGUAAAGUAUAUAUCCUUUCCUCUUAUCUGACUCCUGUAGGCGUUGCAAACAGAAGCCCCUACCCUACCCCUGGAAAAUCUCCAGCAAAAUGUAGAAGGUGCGUUCUUUAUCACAGACUCUGAAAGACUCCACAAGCUUCCUCCUAGCCUCCCUUUCCACAGGGAAGGAGAAGAAGAAGUAGAAAAGGUCAGAUAAGUAGAAAAUACCAAGAUGCUCAAACAUAAGACAGGGGCUUCAGAAAAGCACAAAUUAAAGAAAAAGAAAGUAAUCAGAGAGAGAGGGGAAGCAGUUCUCAUCAAACCGUAGAAGGAAAGACACAGAAGACCAAGGAAUUCAAUUGACCAAAAUAUAAUAAGCUUCGAGAAGUAUGGAAUGAACAGGGUAGGACAGAAAAGGAUCAGAGGAGGGAUUCCAGGAGCCUCCACAGAGGAGGAGAAGUUAGCAAGACAAGCUCAACUUGGAGGGAGGGUCAGGAGGGCUGGCACAAGGCUGUGCAUGCUUGACUGCGUAUCGAACCAGCUCUGGGGAGCCCAGGCUCUAGCAAGAAAUAUUGAGCUGGGCUUACUCCCUUCCCAGCUUCCAAAAUAAGACUCAGCAAGAGAGGGGAGCUCUCCCUGUCAUGUCUAAGUGUUGUCUGUCCCAACCAGGAGGGCAGGUGAGUUGACUGAUGCCAUGAUGAAAUUACAGAAAGAAGACACAGAGGAAGAAGUGGCCAGUUAAAGAUCUGGACAGCAGAGACUCUGGGAGACUGUAGAGAGGGAGAAAGUGAGCAAGGGAAAGGCUAACAGAGUCAAAGCUGUGACUCCUCUCUCUCGAUGGCUGCUACAGAUCCCUGUGUGGUGUGAAUGCAGAUAGGUCUCUGAGAGACCCGGAGUAUGCUUGGCUCUGGUGACAAGGUCAGAGACAAGGUCAGCUUCCUAGCAGAAGGGAGUUCAUUCACUGACCUUGACCAUGGGGUUUGGGACAGGCUGAUGAGGGCAUUGUGCUGGUCUUGGAUGCAGAAGAGUGAUCCAGAGGUUCAGGGUGAGGGUGCAGG